GGGUUGUGAGGUUAAGCGACUAAGCGUACACGGUGGAUGCCCUGGCAGUCAGAGGCGAUGAAGGACGUGCUAAUCUGCGAAAAGCGUCGGUAAGGUGAUAUGAACCGUUAUAACCGGCGAUGUCCGAAUGGGGAAACCCAGUGCAAUUCGUUGCACUAUCGUUAACUGAAUACAUAGGUUAACGAGGCGAACCGGGGGAACUGAAACAUCUAAGUACCCCGAGGAAAAGAAAUCAACCGAGAUUCCCCCAGUAGCGGCGAGCGAACGGGGAGCAGCCCAGAGUCUGAAUCAGCUUGUGUGUUAGUGGAACGGUCUGGAAAGUCCGACGGUACAGGGUGAUAGUCCCGUACACCAAAAUGCACAGGCUGUGAACUCGAAGAGUAGGGCGGGACACGUGGUAUCCUGUCUGAAUAUGGGGGGACCAUCCUCCAAGGCUAAAUACUCCUGACUGACCGAUAGUGAACCAGUACCGUGAGGGAAAGGCGAAAAGAACCCCGGCGAGGGGAGUGAAAAAGAACCUGAAACCGUGUACGUACAAGCAGUGGGAGCACCUUCGGGUGUGACUGCGUACCUUUUGUAUAAUGGGUCAGCGACUUAUAUUCUGUAGCAAGGUUAACCGUAUAGGGGAGCCGCAGGGAAACCGAGUCUUAACUGGGCGUUAAGUUGCAGGGUAUAGACCCGAAACCCGGUGAUCUAGCCAUGGGCAGGUUGAAGGUUGGGUAACACUAACUGGAGGACCGAACCGACUAAUGUUGAAAAAUUAGCGGAUGACUUGUGGCUGGGGGUGAAAGGCCAAUCAAACCGGGAGAUAGCUGGUUCUCCCCGAAAGCUAUUUAGGUAGCGCCUCGUGAACUCAUCUUCGGGGGUAGAGCACUGUUUCGGCUAGGGGGUCAUCCCGACUUACCAACCCGAUGCAAACUACGAAUACCGAAGAAUGUUAUCACGGGAGACACACGGCGGGUGCUAACGUCCGUCGUGAAGAGGGAAACAACCCAGACCGCCAGCUAAGGUCCCAAAGUCAUGGUUAAGUGGGAAACGAUGUGGGAAGGCACAGACAGCCAGGAUGUUGGCUUAGAAGCAGCCAUCAUUUAAAGAAAGCGUAAUAGCUCACUGGUCGAGUCGGCCUGCGCGGAAGAUGUAACGGGGCUAAACCAUGCACCGAAGCUGCGGCAGCGACACUAUGUGUUGUUGGGUAGGGGAGCGUUCUGUAAGCCUGCGAAGGUGUGCUGUGAGGCAUGCUGGAGGUAUCAGAAGUGCGAAUGCUGACAUAAGUAACGAUAAAGCGGGUGAAAAGCCCGCUCGCCGGAAGACCAAGGGUUCCUGUCCAACGUUAAUCGGGGCAGGGUGAGUCGACCCCUAAGGCGAGGCCGAAAGGCGUAGUCGAUGGGAAACAGGUUAAUAUUCCUGUACUUGGUGUUACUGCGAAGGGGGGACGGAGAAGGCUAUGUUAGCCGGGCGACGGUUGUCCCGGUUUAAGCAUGUAGGCUGGUUAUCCAGGCAAAUCCGGAUAAUCAAGGCUGAGGUGUGAUGACGAGGCACUACGGUGCUGAAGUAACAAAUGCCCUGCUUCCAGGAAAAGCCUCUAAGCAUCAGGUAACAUCAAAUCGUACCCCAAACCGACACAGGUGGUCAGGUAGAGAAUACCAAGGCGCUUGAGAGAACUCGGGUGAAGGAACUAGGCAAAAUGGUGCCGUAACUUCGGGAGAAGGCACGCUGGUGUGUAGGUGAAGUCCCUGCGGAUGGAGCUGAGACCAGUCGAAGAUACCAGCUGGCUGCAACUGUUUAUUAAAAACACAGCACUGUGCAAACACGAAAGUGGACGUAUACGGUGUGACGCCUGCCCGGUGCCGGAAGGUUAAUUGAUGGGGUUAUCCGUAAGGAGAAGCUCUUGAUCGAAGCCCCGGUAAACGGCGGCCGUAACUAUAACGGUCCUAAGGUAGCGAAAUUCCUUGUCGGGUAAGUUCCGACCUGCACGAAUGGCGUAAUGAUGGCCAGGCUGUCUCCACCCGAGACUCAGUGAAAUUGAACUCGCUGUGAAGAUGCAGUGUACCCGCGGCAAGACGGAAAGACCCCGUGAACCUUUACUAUAGCUUGACACUGAACAUUGAGCCUUGAUGUGUAGGAUAGGUGGGAGGCUUUGAAGCGUGGACGCCAGUCUGCGUGGAGCCAACCUUGAAAUACCACCCUUUAAUGUUUGAUGUUCUAACGUUGGCCCCUGACCGGGGUUGCGGACAGUGUCUGGUGGGUAGUUUGACUGGGGCGGUCUCCUCCCAAAGCGUAACGGAGGAGCACGAAGGUUAGCUAAUCCUGGUCGGACAUCAGGAGGUUAGUGCAAUGGCAUAAGCUAGCUUGACUGCGAGCGUGACGGCGCGAGCAGGUGCGAAAGCAGGUCAUAGUGAUCCGGUGGUUCUGAAUGGAAGGGCCAUCGCUCAACGGAUAAAAGGUACUCCGGGGAUAACAGGCUGAUACCGCCCAAGAGUUCAUAUCGACGGCGGUGUUUGGCACCUCGAUGUCGGCUCAUCACAUCCUGGGGCUGAAGUAGGUCCCAAGGGUAUGGCUGUUCGCCAUUUAAAGUGGUACGCGAGCUGGGUUUAGAACGUCGUGAGACAGUUCGGUCCCUAUCUGCCGUGGGCGCUGGAGAAUUGAGGGGGGCUGCUCCUAGUACGAGAGGACCGGAGUGGACGCAUCACUGGUGUUCGGGUUGUCAUGCCAAUGGCACUGCCCGGUAGCUAAAUGCGGAAGAGAUAAGUGCUGAAAGCAUCUAAGCACGAAACUUGCCCCGAGAUGAGUUCUCCCUGAGACUUUAAGUCUCCUGAAGGAACGUUAAAGACGAUGACGUUGAUAGGCCCGGAGU
rnacentral:rRNA from 1 species